rnacentral:rRNA from 1 species
AGCGAACGCUGGCGGCGUGCUUAACACAUGCAAGUCGAGUGCACAGUUUUCUGUAGCAAUACAGGAAAUGGGUGCACGGCGCACGGGUGCGUAACACGUGGGUAAUCUGCCCUUCGGUGGGGAAUAACCCCGCGAAAGCGGGGCUAAUUCCGCAUGACAUUCCAGGAACCCUGGUUUCCGGAUUCAAAGGCCGCAAGGUCGCCGGAGGAGGAACCCGCGCCCGAUUAGCUAGUUGGUAGGGUAAUGGCCUACCAAGGCUAUGAUCGGUAGCCGGUCU